UGCGUAGGUGACAAGCGUUGUCCGGAUUUACUGGGCGUAAAGAGCGCGCAGGCGGUCGUUCAAGUCGAGUGUGAAAGCCCCCGGCUCAACUGGGGAGGGUCAUUCGAUACUGAUCGACUCGAAGGCAGGAGAGGGUAGUGGAAUUCCCGGUGUAGUGGUGAAAUGCGUAGAUAUCGGGAGGAACACCAGUGGCGAAGGCGACUACCUGGCCUGUUCUUGACGCUGAGGCGCGAAAGCUAGGGGAGCAAACGGG
rnacentral:rRNA from 1 species